UAACUGUGCAAAGGUAGCAUAAUCAAUAGUUUUUUAAUUGAAGGCUUGUAUGAAGGGUUGGACAAAGAAUAAUCUGUUUUUAUUUUUUUUUUUGAAUUUAACUUUUAAGUGAAAAGGCUUAAAUAAAUUUAAGGGACGAUAAGACCCUAUAAAUCUUUAUAUUAUUUUGUUUUUUAGUAAAUAAUAAAGUAAAUAGUUUAAUAAAACAAAAAAUAUUUUGUUGGGGUGAUGAAAAUAUAAUUAUUAACUGUUUUAAAAUUUAAACAAAGUUGUUUGGUAAAAAUAAUAAAUCCUUUAUAUAGAUAAAAAAUUUAAGUUACUUUAGGGAUAACAGCGUUAUUUUUUUUGAGAGUUCAUAUCGAAAAAAAAGUUUGCGACCUCAAUGUUGAAUUAAAAGUUCUUUGUGGGGUAGGUGCUACAAAAAAAAGUCUGUUCGACUUUUAAAAUUUUACG
rnacentral:rRNA from 1 species